rnacentral:lncRNA from 1 species
UUUGAGUAUUUAUGAACUGGUUUGGGUUGAGGUUUCUUUAUUAUGCAUGCGAUUGAAGAUUUUUAGAUCUGUGGUUUUGGAUUUAUGUAUUUAUACAUUGUGGUUUUCUACCCCUCGAGGUAGUCGGUUUUCAAAAAUGAAGUUUCCGAAUGGGAAACGGUUUUAAAAGGCUUUUCAAAUGGUUUUUAUGAAUGAUUAAAUAGAGUUUAAAAAUAA